CACACGACCGUACCGCAAACCGACACUGGUGCGCGAGAUGAGUAUUCUAAGGCGCUUGAGAGAACUCAGGAGAAGGAACUCGGCAAAUUGACACCGUAACUUCCGAAGAAGGUGUGCCUUUAGUAGGUGAACCAUUUACUUGGGGAGCCCAAUGAGGCUGCAAAAAAUCGGUGGCUGCAACUGUUUAUUAAAAACACAGCACUCUGCUAAGACGAAAGUCGACGUAUAGGGUGUGACGCCUGCCCGGCGCUGGAAGAUUAAAUGAUGGGGUGCAAGCUCUUGAUUGAAGUCCCAGUAAACGGCGGCCGUAACUAUAACGGUCCUAAGGUAGCGAAAUUCCUUGUCGGGUAAGUUCCGACCUGCACGAAUGGCGUAAUGAUGGCCACACUGUCUCCUCCUGAGACUCAGCGAAGUUGAAAUGUUUGUGAUGAUGCAAUCUCCCCGCGGAAAGACGGAAAGACCCCAUGAACCUUUACUGUAGCUUUGUAUUGGACUUUGAACAGAUCUGUGUAGGAUAGGUGGGAGGCUUUGAAGUGUGGUCGCUAGAUCGCAUGGAGCCAACGUUGAAAUACCACCCUGGUGUGUUUGAGGUUCUAACCUAGGUCCAUUAUCUGGAUCGGGGACAGUGCAUGGUAGGCAGUUUGACUGGGGCGGUCUCCUCCCAAAGUGUAACGGAGGAGUUCGAAGGUACGCUAGGUACGGUCGGACAUCGUGCUAAUAGUGCAAUGGCAUAAGCGUGCUUAACUGCGAGACUGACAAGUCGAGCAGAUGCGAAAGCAGGACAUAGUGAUCCGGUGGUUCUGUACGGAAGGGCCAUCGCUCAACGGAUAAAAGGUACUCUGGGGAUAACAGGCCGAUACCGCCCAAGAGUUCAUAUCGACGGCGGUGUUUGGCACCUCGAUGUCGGCUCAUCUCAUCCUGGGGCUGUAGCCGGUCCCAAGGGUAUGGCUGUUCGCCAUUUAAAGAGGUACGUGAGCUGGGUUUAAAACGUCGUGAGACAGUUUGGUCCCUAUCUUCCGUGGGCGCUGCAGAUUUGAGGAAGCCUGCUCCUAGUACGAGAGGACCGGAGUGGACGAACCUCUGGUGUAUCGGUUGUCACGCCAGUGGCAUUGCCGAGUAGCUAAGUUCGGAAGAGAUAACCGCUGAAAGCAUCUAAGCGGGAAACUCGUUUCAAGAUUAGAUCUGCCGGGGCCUUGAGCCCCCUAAAGAGUCGUUCAAGACCAGGACGUUGAUAGGUCAGGUGUGGAAGCG
rnacentral:rRNA from 1 species